rnacentral:rRNA from 2 species
AGAGUUUGAUCCUGGCUCAGAACGUACGCUGGCGGCACGCCUAACACAUGCAAGUCGAACGAAGUAGCAAUACUUAGUGGCAGACGGGUGAGUAACAUGUAGGUAUCUGCCCUUUGGCCUGGAAUAACACGAGGAAACUUGUGCUAAUACCGGAUAAGUCUUUACGGAGAAAGCUUUAUGCACCAUUGGAUGAGCCUGCACUUGAUUAGUUUGUUGGUGGGGUAAUGGCCUACCAAGACUGUGAUCAAUAGCUGAUUUGAGAGGAUGAUCAGCCACAUUGGGACUGAGACACGGCCCAAACUCCUACGGGAGGCAGCAGUGGGGAAUCUUGCACAAUGGAGGAAACUCUGAUGCAGCGAUGCCGCGUGAGUGAAGAAGGCCUUUGGGUUGUAAAGCUCUUUCGUCGGGGAAGAAAAUGACUGUACCCGAAUAAGAAGGUCCGGCUAACUUCGUGCCAGCAGCCGCGGUAAUACGAAGGGACCUAGCGUAGUUCGGAAUUACUGGGCUUAAAGAGUUCGUAGGUGGUUGAAAAAGUUGGUGGUGAAAUCCCAGAGCUUAACUCUGGAACUGCCAUCAAAACUUUUCAGCUAGAGUAUGAUAGAGGAAAGCAGAAUUUCUAGUGUAGAGGUGAAAUUCGUAGAUAUUAGAAAGAAUACCAAUUGCGAAGGCAGCUUUCUGGAUCAUUACUGACACUGAGGAACGAAAGCAUGGGUAGCGAAGAGGAUUAGAUACCCUCGUAGUCCAUGCCGUAAACGAUGUGUGUUAGACGUUGGAAAUUUAUUUUCAGUGUCGCAGCGAAAGCGAUAAACACACCGCCUGGGGAGUACGACCGCAAGGUUAAAACUCAAAUGAAUUGACGGGGACCAGCACAAGUAGUGGAGCAUGUGGUUUAAUUCGAAGAUACGCGCAGAACCUUACCAACACUUGACAUGUUCGUCGCGACUUUAAGAGAUUAAAGUUUUCGGUUCGGCCGGACGAAACACAGGUGCUGCAUGGCUGUCGUCAGCUCGUGUCGUGAGAUGUUGGGUUAAGUCCCGCAACGAGCGCAACCCUCACUUUUAGUUGCCAUCAUUAAGUUGGGCACUCUGAAAGAACUGCCAGUGAUAAGCUGGAGGAAGGUGGGGAUGACGUCAAGUCCUCAUGGCCCUUACGUGUUGGGCUACACACGUGCUACAAUGGUAUCUACAACAGGAAGCAAAACUGCGAGGUUAAGCAAAUCCUUAAAAGAUACCUCAGUUCGGAUUGCACUCUGCAACUCGAGUGCAUGAAGCUGGAAUUACUAGUAAUCGUGGAUCAGCGUGCCACGGUGAAUGCGUUCCCGGGUCUUGUACACACCGCCCGUCACACCAUGGGAGUUGGUUCUACCUUAAGGCAAGGUUUCAAACCCUUGACCACGGUAUAGUCAGCGACUGGGGUGAAGUCGUAACAAGGUAACC